AGAGUUUGAUCCUGGCUCAGGACGAACGCUGGCGGCGUGCUUAACACAUGCAAGUCGUGGGCACUAGCAAUAGUGACCGGCGAACGGGUGCGUAACACGUAAGCGACCUACCGAUCCGCGGGGGAUAGCCGGCCCAACGGCCGGGUAAUACCGCAUACGCUCACAUGGCUGCAUGGCCUAGUGAGGAAACCUCCGGGGCG
rnacentral:rRNA from 1 species